CCACCCAAAAAAGUUCUAAGGCAAAAGACUAGAAGUCCCUUCCCUACAAAAUCUCUAGUUUCUUUUGUAGAUUUGAAGCUUUCCGGUUAUCAAGCACAAAUGGCAGGAGGGGAUUCACAUGAUCGAGUAGCCUAGCCUGAUAUUGAUGAAGGAUAAAGUAGAUGAAGGGCUUGUUUUAUCACGGACAAAGAAUAAGGCCAGCUAUAUAUAUAUAAGCUUUGAUAUCAUUAAUUUUUUCUAAUUUUCCGGUUGAUGAUCUGAUGUCUCAAAGUCACAUCCUUAAUUUCAUUUCGUUAUUAUUAAGGUUAUAAUUCAGUAGUAGUACUACGUACUGCUGUUGGCCAUUAA